AUUGAACGCUGGCGGAAUGCUUUACACAUGCAAGUCGAACGGCAGCACGGGGGCAACCCUGGUGGCGAGUGGCGAACGGGUGAGUAAUACAUCGGAACGUGCCCGUUCGUGGGGGAUAACGUAGCGAAAGUUACGCUCAUACCGCAUACGCUCUGAGGAUGAAAGCGGGGGACCUUCGGGCCUCGCGCGAUCGGAGCGGCCGAUGUCAGAUUAGGUAGUUGGUGGGGUAAAGGCCUACCAAGCCGACGAUCUGUAGCUGGUCUGAGAGGACGAGCAGCCACACUGGGACUGAGACACGGCCCAGACUCCUACGGGAGGCAGCAGUGGGGAAUUUUGGACAAUGGGCGCAAGCCUGAUCCAGCCAUUCCGCGUGCAGGACGUAGGCCUUCGGGUUGUAAACUGCUUUUGCAUGGAACGAAAAGGCUCUGGCUAAUACCUGGGGCUCAUGACGGUACCGUAAGAAUAAGCACCGGCUAACUACGUG
rnacentral:rRNA from 1 species